rnacentral:rRNA from 1 species
GUUGAUCCUGGCUAGAACGAACGCUGGCGGCGCGUCUUAAGCAUGCAAGUCGAACGGCAAGAGGUAGCAAUACCUCCUAGAGUGGCGGACUGGUGAGUAACACGUGGGUGACAUACCCUUCAGAUGGGGAUAGCUAUUAGAAAUAGUAGAUAAUACCGAAUACGAGCACAGGGGUUAGAGAUCUGUGAGGAAAGGAGCUAAGGCUCCGCUGAAGGAAUGGCCUGCGGCCCAUUAGCUAGUUGGUGAGGUAAGAGCCCACCAAGGCGAUGAUGGGUAUCCGGCCUUAGAGGGUGAACGGACACAUUGGGACUGAGAUACGGCCCAGACUCCUACGGGAGGCAGCAGCUAAGAAUAUUCCGCAAUGGACGAAAGUCUGACGGAGCGACGCCGCGUGGAUUGAAGAAGGCCGGAAGGUUGUAAAAUCCUUUUGAAACUGAAGAAUAAGCGUUGUAGGGAAUGACAGCGUGGUGACAGUAGGUUUUGAAUAAGCAACGGCUAAUUACGUGCCAGCAGCUGC